rnacentral:rRNA from 1 species
ACGAACGCUGGCGGCGUGCCUAAUACAUGCAAGUAGAACGCUGAAGGAGGAGCUUGCUUCUCUGGAUGAGUUGCGAACGGGUGAGUAACGCGUAGGUAACCUGCCUGGUAGCGGGGGAUAACUAUUGGAAACGAUAGCUAAUACCGCAUAAUAGUAGAUGUUGCAUGACAUUUGCUUAAAAGGUGCAAUUGCAUCACUACCAGAUGGACCUGCGUUGUAUUAGCUAGUUGGUGAGGUAACGGCUCACCAAGGCAACGAUACAUAGCCGACCUGAGAGGGUGAUCGGCCACACUGGGACUGAGACACGGCCCAGACUCCUACGGGAGGCAGCAGUAGGGAAUCUUCGGCAAUGGACGGAAGUCUGACCGAGCAACGCCGCGUGAGUGAAGAAGGUUUUCGGAUCGUAAAGCUCUGUUGUAAGAGAAGAACGAGUGUGAGAGUGGAAAGUUCACACUGUGACGGUAGCUGACCAGAAAGGGACGGCUAACUACGUG